AUCAGCACCCUCCACAGCGCAGACGCGUAUCUUCAGGGGUCACAGGGGAGAAAAGUAGGGGCCGGUCCCGGCUUAGUUCCGACAGAGUCCUCACAUCACCUGCCAAGCAGCAGGAGGGGUUUUCACCUCCUGGUCCUGCCACCUGCUGGCCCCUCCUGCCUCCCUGGUCCCUGUUCCUGAGAGGAUCCUGCCUGGGGGUUGCAGCAGCCUACUUCAUUCAGCACAGGAAACCACACACUUAGGAGACCAGGAAAUGGUGAUGGUUCAUGACAACAUCAACACCAGUGAUUACUGUGCUUUCAGUACCUUUGCCCUAGGGACCUUCAGAAGAGGCAUUCAUGCAAAGGAAGGAAUCAUCAAUGUUACCCUCUGCCCACUGGCCAUCUUGCCCUCCACCUCCAGGCACAUCUUGCAAAUGUUAUAGAACAUCUCAUCGUCACUGAUGAGGUCCCCAUAGGUAUCUAAAAUGUUUCCUGUAAUGCUGUUCAUAUGAAAAAAAGUUUCCACUUAUGCUAUCAUUAAAAAAUAUGUAUGUUUUUCAAGCUGCCAUUGGAAUCUUAGCCAACACCUUCCUCUUUCUCUUCCACAUCUUGACAAUCCACCGAGAUCAUAGACCUAAGCCCACUGAUGUGACCACGUGUCACUUGGCAUUUGUCCAUAUAAUGAUGCUACUCACAACACUGGAAAUUUUAUCUGCAGAUAUGUUCGAGUCACUGAAUUUUCUAAAUGACUUAAAAUGUAAGGUUUUGCUCUAUAUGAUCAGGGUGAUGAGGGGUCUCUCCAUCAGUACUACGUCCCUCUUGAGCAUCAUCCAAGUCAUCACCAUCAGCCCCAGCACCUUCUACAUGUCAAGAUUUAAACAUGGACUCACAAAUUAUAUUACUCAGGCUUUCUUCUGUUUUUGGUCCCUCAACCUUUCUUUCAAUAGUAACAUGAUCAUCUACACUGUAGCUCAUUCCAACAUGACCAAACUACUCAAUGUCAAUAAGUACUGCUCACUUUCCUCAAUGAAUUCUAUCAUCAUGGAAAUAUUUUUCACACUUGCAUUGUCCCAGAACAUCUUCUUUGUAGGUAUCAUGCUACUCUCCAGUGCAUACAUGAUGAUUUUCUUAUCUAAUCAUCAGAGGAGGUAUGAGUACCUUCACAGCAUAAGCAUUACCCCAAGAACCUCCCCAGCAAAAAGGGCCACUCAUACUGUCCUGCUCCUGACUUGGCAUCUAUGAAGCAGCUUUUGCUACCUAAUCCUUAGAUCUUACUUCAGAAGCGUUAACCUAAUACUGGCAAGAACUAAUUGUCCAAAUUCAGGAUUUUAUCUUCAAUCAUCAUUUUUCCUCAUUGGCACUUUCACAACUCUACAAAAAUAAUCCUUCUGGAUAGUCUAUUUAAAUUGUUCUCCAUGGAUUAAAUCAUCAACAGUGACAGGAUUUCUUCUGUCUCCAUUGUGGUGUAUAAUCUAUAGACUAUAAUACUGUAUAUACUCAAUAGUAGACCACCUCAGCUAUCUACUCUCAGGAUGAAGUUGGAAGAUGUCUGACAGUGGCCUGAACACACUUAUUUGUCUUAGAGACAACCUCAAGUAUUAGACUGUUGAACAGAUCCAACUGGCUGUAAAUAAUAAUGGAUAAUCUGAUCUCUAAUCUUAUAGUCUAGAUGUGUUUUACAUAUUAAGAGUUUUUAAUUCAAACCUAUAAAAAUAUGGUGCUUUACUUUAAGACUGCUUGCCCUCAGUACUUCCUGAGAGUAAUAAAUCAUUCUUUGAGUUAUGUCACUGAUUUCUAAUUAUAUUUAAAAUUACAAUUUAUGAACAUACAAUGCAAGAUAAACAACCAAAAUAAUUGUAAGAACAUGAAUGACUAUAUAAUGGAAAGUCAUCUGGAAGUAAGCACUGCUAUUUGGUCUUAUUUAUUUCACAUUCCUCCUCAGCGCUCAAUGAAUAAUCAACUGGAAAUGCUGAGGAAGAAGUCAUACAGACAGUUUUGGUUUUGACAUUGAUUUCCAUACUUAAGAAAAAGCAUGGAAAUGUUAAAGGAAAUUUCACAUGCCUGUGGGUUGGCAUGGGGAGGAUGGAACACUUUUGAGAGAUUAAAAAAAGUAGCCAUGCAUAUUUUCAUGAAUAAUUUAUCAAAUUUUUCCAAACUGUGUUUUAAAUAUAUGAUUUUAUUGGCUCAAAUUCAUAUCAGAAAUACUUGUUCAUUUUUAGCCAGAAACUCCAUAGGUGUUAUAGAACACAAAAGUACACACACUAUGACUUACCCUUUUGCCUUAGCAUUUCAAUCUCCGAGGAAUGAAAGUUGCUUUAGGUUUCGCAUUGAUCAAAAUAAUUCUGAAGAUUUCAAAUACCCUCCAACGUCACAACUCUGACUUAAUCUGCUUCUCUGAGGAGCACUGUCUCUGCUAUGAAUCCCCACUGGCUUCAUUCUAGUAGUCUCUAAGCCAAAUUCCAAAUUGAGUGAGGUUUGUGGGUGAUAUUACAGAAUCGACUCUUCUUACAACUCACUCAUUCUCACUCUUCUGUGAUAAGAAUAACUAUAGUGAGAUUCCAAGAUGGUGAAUUUGGGAAUAACACACUGUGAUAGGCUACAGAUGAACAGGAAGAAAAAGGAUAGGGAGUACACUCUCAGGAUAGAAUAGGAAAGAAAACUGCACUGGAAAUCCUACAACAGGAGAAGGAAUGUCAUGGACCUGUGUGGAAGGUGCAGACAUGCAGUAAGAACACCAUCACAAGCACGACUGAAGCAGCCAAGAGCUGGAGCAGGAGGCAGCUUGGAGACAGAGGCGAGGCUGGGCUGAAGCAACCCAUGGUGAUAUAGCCAGAGGGAGACACAGUGUGAGUCUGGACUGGAGCUCUGGAGGCUAGCAGUUGCUACAGGUUGUCCACAGACCCAGUGGUAGGAGAAGGGGCAUAUUUAAUUCACUUCAACUUCCCCAUGAAAGCUCCUGCUGCUUGGAUGAGAAGGAGCGAGCAUCAUUUUUGAUUAGGGCAGGAGCUGCAGAAAAAUUUGUGCACAUGCACAGCAACUGGCUGAGCAGGACUCCCUGUUUUUUGAAGUACUGGCAGUAAUGGUAAGGAGAUAGCAACAUUUGGCCAGUGACUCUUAUGUAUGCAUGUGAUCCAGUGACUCUAGCAAAGAGACUACUAGGCAGUCCCCACUGACUUUGAGCCUGACAGGGAGGUAGGUGGUCAACCUCAGAGGACAAUGAAGCACCCACAGACUCCCAGGAGCAAGACACCUAGGCAGAACUGUCUCAGGGAACAUUUGCAACUCUAUUGACUGGACAGCUUGGUAGGGCAGAGAAACCUGUGCACUCGGAGUCUGUUGGGGCCUUUAGUACUGAGACUGUAGAGACUUGGUGGAUACAUGAAAAGGUACAGGGUAUAGUGGGGCCUGUGGGCAAUCACUGGUUGCAGUUCCACAUGCCUGGAUUUCCUUGGUUACUAAUAACAGGUCUUUGCAGCAGAAACUGUGCUCACAGUGAAGACUGUGCAGAACACUUGUGGGGUUUAUAAUGGUUCAGAACACACCCAGGCAUUGAGAUCUACUAUAAUCACCUGUGUGUUACUCUGGAAAAGUACCCCACACCUAAGCACUGACCAGAGCUCCGUGGCCAUACCAACCAUAUACCUCUGGGUAUUUACUAAAAGUGCAGGCAUUACAUUAAGUCAUAGAUUCAUAGCUCAAAGAAAAAAAACUACCAUGAAAAGAAAAAAAAACUCCACAAAUUUAUUCAUUGUAUUUAACUAAAUACAAAUGAAGAAAUUCAAGAAACAAUAAUAAAGAAGACCCUGUGAGAACACAACUAUGUUUCAAUAUUUAAAUGUUUGGAUGAAGAGAGUGAUGAAUUUCUGGAAAUAGAAUUAAAAAGUAAACAUAGGUUAUUCUUAAGCAACCAGAAGCAAAUCCACAAACUUAAGAAAACCAUACAUGGUAUGAAUGAAAAUUUUCCUAUGAAACUGAUAUGUUAAAGAGAAAUCACAAUGAAAUAUUAGAAAUGAAAAAUUCAAUAGACCAAAUAAAAUAUGUGGUGGAAAGCCAUAACAGAGAUUUGGCAUGGAAAAAGGAAUAUUGUCCUAGAAAACAAAACUUUGGAAAUCAUUCAAUUAGAUCAAAGAAGAAGAAAAAGAAGAAAUUAGAAAACUUAAAAACAGUGUUGGAGAUUUAUGGGAUACUAUCAAAUAACACAACAUACAGGUAUUAGAGUUCUUGAAAGUGUAGAAAGAGAGAAUGGAUUAGAAGCCCCAUUUAGUAAAAUAAUUAGAGAAAACUUUGCUAAUUUGGAGAAAGAAAGGAACACUCAUGUAGAAGAAGUAUAUAGAUCUCCUAACAGAUAUUACCAGAAAAGAUAUUCACCAUAAAGACCAUAA